rnacentral:tRNA from 1 species
GGGGCUAUAGCUCAGCUGGCUAGAGCGCUUCGCUGGCAGCGAAGAGGCCUGCGGUUCGAAUCCGCAUAGCUCCACCA